GGGAAAGAAUUAUUUGACGGAUAAGAAAAAGUACCCUUCGAAAGACUCGGCGUUUGAGCUGGUGUGCUGCAAGUGUUUUAAAACUAAGCAACAGAUGCUUCAUGCUGGCAAAGAAGUGGACUCACUAUGCAAAUUUCUCUCGGAUAAUGAG
rnacentral:ribozyme from 1 species